rnacentral:rRNA from 1 species
UUAUACAGUGAAACUGCGAAUGGCUCAUUAAAUCAGUUAUAGUUUAUUUGAAGAUAAUAACCAUUAGGAUAACCGUGGUAAUUCUAGAGCUAAUACUUGCUUCUAGGCUUUAUUAGAUAUGAAUCACAAUAACUUCAGAUCGUUCUGACGCUUCUUUCAUUUUUCUGCCCUAUCAKYUAGAUGGCAAGGUAUUGGCUUGCCAUGGCAGCAACGG